rnacentral:rRNA from 1 species
CCUACGGGAGGCAGCAGUGGGGAAUAUUGGACAAUGGGCGAAAGCCUGAUCCAGCAACGCCGCGUGAGGGAUGACGGCCUUCGGGUUGUAAACCUCUUUCAGCAGGGACGCGGUACCUGCAAAAGAAGCACCGGCCAACUACGUGCCAGCAGCCGCGGUAACACGUAGGGUGCGAGCGUUGUCCGGAAUUAUUGGGCGUAAAGGGCUCGUAGGCGGUCCGUCACGUCGGGAGUGAAAACUCGGGGCUUAACCCCGAGCCUGCUUCCGAUACGGGCGGACUAGAGGUAGGUAGGGGAGAACGGAAUUCCUGGUGUAGCGGUGGAAUGCGCAGAUAUCAGGAGGAACACCGGUGGCGAAGGCGGUUCUCUGGGCCUUCCUGACGCUGAGGAGCGAAAGCGUGGGGAGCGAACAGGAUUAGAUACCCUUGUAGUC